GUCCCCGCAACAUUUGAAGUGCUUGCCGGUGAUCGACUAGAGGUCGUUGUGAAAACUAAAUCAGGUGAAGCCACUGAACAGAACUCAGAUGACGAAGAUGAUGGUUUAGUUCGACGUUUCGAUGUUUACAAUGUUGGACCAGACUGCCUACUGCUGGGAUUUGGGUCUUGGAGAGGCGGGAUGUCGGAAUGCAUGAUGUGGGUGCACGUGAAAUCUGAUGGCACUUAUAACAAACAAGGCAAAGAUUGUUGGAGGACUACAACUACCAUGUGUAAGAAUAUGGUGAAAGUAUGGACCACUGAGUGCGAAGCGUUUCAUAAAAAAGAAAAAAGAGCCGAGCGAUUCGCUGCCGAGGAAGCACUACAGGAAGCACAUACAGCGAGCUAGCCACCGGUUGAUGUUUUCUGGCUGUAGUUGAUUAAAUGUAUCAAUGUAUGUACCACUCCUUUCUGUAGCGCCUACGGGCCUCGAAAGUAUGUAAAGUAAAAUAAAAUAAAAUAGGACAUGAUUAAAUCAGAACAUGAAAAUAUGUAUUUGCCACUGAUGGUUAAAAUAAAUG